rnacentral:rRNA from 1 species
CUACUCGGGUAUCUAAUCCUGUUUGCUCCCCACGCUUUCGUGCAUGAGCGUCAGUGCAGGCCCAGGGGAUUGCCUUCGCCAUCGGUGUUCCUCCGCAUAUCUACGCAUUUCACUGCUACACGCGGAAUUCCAUCCCCCUCUGCCGCACUCCAGCUAUGCAGUCACAAAUGCAGUUCCCAGGUUGAGCCCGGGGAUUUCACAUCUGUCUUGCAUAACCGCCUGCGCACGCUUUACGCCCAGUAAUUCCGAUUAACGCUUGCACCCUACGUAUUACCGCGGCUGCUGGCAC